GGUCGGCAUGUCUAGUAUAGCACUAUACUGUGAAACUGCGAAUGGCUCAUUAAAUCAGUUAUCGUUUAUUUGAUAGUACCUUACUACAUGGAUAACCGUGGUAAUUCUAGAGCUAAUACAUGCUAAAAACCUCGACUUCGGAAGGGGUGUAUUUAUUAGAUAAAAAACCAAUGCCCUUCGGGGCUCCCUGGUGAUUCAUAAUAACUUAACGAAUCGCAUGGCCUUGUGCCGGCGAUGGUUCAUUCAAAUUUCUGCCCUAUCAACUUUCGAUGGUAGGAUAGUGGCCUACCAUGGUUUCAACGGGUAACGGGGAAUUAGGGUUCUAUUCCGGAGAAGGAGCCUGAGAAACGGCUACUACAUCCAAGGAAGGCAGCAGGCGCGCAAAUUACCCAAUCCCGACACGGGGAGGUAGUGACAAUAAAUACUGAUACAGGGCUCUUUUGAGUCUUGUAAUUGGAAUGAGUACAAUUUAAAUACCUUAACGAGGAACAAUUGGAGGGCAAGUCUGGUGCCAGCAGCCGCGGUAAUUCCAGCUCCAAUAGCGUAUAUUAAAGUUGUUGCAGUUAAAAAGCUCGUAGUUGAACCUUGGGCCUGGUUGGCCGGUCCGCCUCACCGCGUGCACUGGUCCGACCGGGUCUUUCCUUCUGGGGAGCCGCAUGCCCUUCACUGGGUGUGUCGGGGAACCAGGACUUUUACUUUGAAAAAAUUAGAGUGUUCAAAGCAGGCCUAUGCUCGAAUACAUUAGCAUGGAAUAAUAGAAUAGGACGUGUGGUUCUAUUUUGUUGGUUUCUAGGACCGCCGUAAUGAUUAAUAGGGAUAGUCGGGGGCAUCAGUAUUCAAUUGUCAGAGGUGAAAUUCUUGGAUUUAUUGAAGACUAACUACUGCGAAAGCAUUUGCCAAGGAUGUUUUCAUUAAUCAGUGAACGAAAGUUAGGGGAUCGAAGACGAUCAGAUACCGUCGUAGUCUUAACCAUAAACUAUGCCGACUAGGGAUCGGGCGAUGUUAUCUUUUUGACUCGCUCGGCACCUCACGAGAAAUCAAAGUCUUUGGGUUCUGGGGGGGAGUAUGGUCGCAAGGCUGAAACUUAAAGAAAUUGACG
rnacentral:rRNA from 1 species